GCCCAGCCCGCAACCGUCACGUGCCGAGGCGCGGCGUCCAGCCCGUAGCUGAUGCUGCCGCGCGGUAUUCGUCAUGGAGCUGGCGCCGCGGAGUUGUCUUAUGCCGGUGCUGCUGCUGCUCAUGGGCCUGAGCACGGGAGCUGUCAUCAGCUGGCCCACAGAAGAGGGCAAGGAAGUAUGGGAUUAUGUGACUGUCCGGAAGGACGCCCACAUGUUCUGGUGGCUCUAUUAUGCCACCAGCCCCAGCAAGAACUUCUCAGAACUGCCCCUGGUCAUGUGGCUUCAGGGUGGUCCAGGUGGUUCCAGCACUGGAUUUGGGAACUUUGAGGAAAUCGGGCCCCUCGACAGAGAUCUCAAACCACGAAGAACUACUUGGCUCCAGUCGGCCAGUCUCCUGUUUGUGGAUAACCCAGUGGGCACUGGGUUCAGUUAUGUGAACAAGAGUGACGCGUACACCAAAGACCUGGCCAUGGUGGCAUCAGACAUGAUGGUUCUCCUGAAGACUUUCUUUGAAUGCCACAAAGAAUUCCAGACAAUUCCAUUCUACAUUUUCUCAGAGUCCUAUGGAGGAAAAAUGGCUGCUGGCAUUGCUCUAGAACUUUAUAAGGCCACUCAGCAAGGGACCAUCCAGUGCAACUUUGCCGGGGUUGCUUUAGGUGAUUCCUGGAUCUCCCCCAUCGAUUCAGUGCUCUCCUGGGGACCUUACUUGUACAGCAUGUCUCUUCUCGACGACCAAGGUCUGGCAGAGGUGUCUCGGGUUGCAGAACAAGUCCUGGAUGCCAUAAAUAAGAGACUCUACAAAGAGGCCACCGAGCUGUGGGAGAAAGCAGAAAUGGUCAUUGAACAGAACACAGACGGAGUGAACUUCUAUAACAUCUUAACUAAGACGUCUCCCACGUCUACCAUGAAAUCGAGUCUAGAAUUCACCCAGAGCCACAUAGUUCACCUUUUCCAGCGCCACGUGAGACACUUACAGCAGGAUGCCUUAAGUCAGCUCAUGAAUGGUCCCGUCAGAAAGAAACUCAAAAUUAUUCCUGAAGAUUGCUCCUGGGGAGGCCAGGCUGCCAGCGUCUUCCUGAACAUGAAGGGGGACUUCAUGAAACCCGUCAUCAGCAUUGUGGACGAGCUGCUGGAAGCCGGGGUCAACGUGACCGUGUAUAAUGGACAGCUUGACCUCAUCGUGGACACCAUGGGAGGCCUGGGUGCGAAAACUGAAGUGGGCAGAACUGCCCAAAUUCAGUCAGCUGAAGUGGAAGCCCCUGCACAGUGACCCUGAGACUUCAGAAACGUCUGCCUUUGUCAAGUCCCACAAGAACCUGGCUUUCUACUGGAUUCUCAGAGCUGGACACAUGGUUCCUUCCGACCAAGGGGACAUGGCUCUGCAGAUGAUGAGGCUGGUGACUCAGCAAGAAUAGGAUGGCCUGGGCUGGAGGUGAGCUGCUUGGCCUUGGGGCACGGAAGCCGAAGCAAGCGCCCUGAAGGUGUAGGAACCACUCUUCUCCCUUUGAAUCUGACUCGGGGGGAGAACCUCACUUGGGCUGUGACUGUGAAGGGUCCCAUCAGCUUCGACAGAGAACAAAAUCAUUGCCUCUGUGACAACUUGGAAAUCAUUUCUGCUUCUGAAAACUAAGUUUUAAAAAACUGGAUUUGGGGCUUCCCUGGUGGCGCAGUGGCUGAGAGUCCGCCUGCCGAUGCAGGGGACACGGGUUCGUGCCUCGGUCCGGGAAGAUCCCACAUGCCGCGGAGCGGCUGGGCCCGUGAGCCAUGGCCGCUGAGCCUGCGCGUCCGGAGCCUGUGCUCCGCGACGGGAGAGGCCACAACAGUGAGAGGCCCGCAUACCGCAAAUAAAUAAAUAAAUUAAUUAAUUAAAAUUAAAAGCUGGAUUUGUUUUCAUCAAAAUAAAGGGUUGAAGUAGAUUAACAUUUUC